GAAAUGCGAUAAGUAUUGUGAAUUGCAGAAUUCAGUGUAUCAUCGAAGCUUUGAACGCACAUUGCGCCCAUUCGUAUUCCAUGGGGCAUGCCUGUUCGACCGACAUUUGUAACCUCAAGCUUUGCUUGGUGUUGGGCGUCUUGUCCUCUUCUGGAGGACUCGCCUCAAAACAAUUGGCAGCCGGCAUAUUGGUAUCGGAGCGCAGCACAAGUCGCACUUCUUUCCAUGAAUGUUGGAAUCCAUCAAGACCAUUUUUUCACUCUUGACCUCGGAUCAGGUAGGGAUACCCGCUCAACUUAA
rnacentral:misc_RNA from 1 species